CUUACACUGUGAAUGGCUGGGCCCAGGGGAGUGUUGCAGAACAGAGAGACCUGCGAAUACAAGCACAAGGUUCACUGAAAGUGAAAAUGCAGUGGCUGGGAUCCUGGUUGGAGUCCAUGUUCCACAGCUACGCUCAACCUGCAUUCUUGGAACUUGUUGAACCGGCUGUGUUUCAUGAUCUCAGAGAGUGGCUUGGAAGGCAUGCGCCUUCGGGGUACGACCCUCUGGAUGACCGGAUUUCUCGCCGAUGUCACCGACUAAAGCUUCGAGGGAAAUGGAACAUCCAGACCGCGGGUGCAGUCGUUGGAGGUUUCUGCACUCUCUUUGUCUCGAUGAUGCUGUCUGGCCUGCUGAGUUCCUCCAGCAUUUUGUGCGUGUUGACUGAAUUCUAUACUGACCUCCAUUACUGUCUGGGUGAAGGUGCAAGAAUCUCCCAAGUUUUCCAGAUUCCUUUCCACGUGCCAAAGGAUCAACUAAUGCAGUGGAAAGAGUGGGCAGCUUCUAGUUCCUGGAUUCAGCAUCCUAGAGGAUCUAUCCUGAGCCCAAAUCGAUGCAAUCAGGAUGAAGGCACAACAGCAGUUAUACUUCAUUAGCAACUUGAGAUUAUUUAGUAUGUCAGCAAAGAAUCUAGGAAAAUUUCUGCAGAUGCACCAUGUUGAGCAUUCUGACCCAUUGGAUCACCAUGUGGAAUGGAGGAGCCAAUGCACAGAAUCAGAAAAAGAUACAGAGGCUUGUCAACUCAGUCAGCAUCCAUGAUGGGCACUGGCCUCUCUACCAUCAAAGGCAUCUUCAAAAAAUGAUGCCUCGAGUUGGCAACAACCAUUACUAAGGACCAUCACCAUCUGGAACGUGCCCUUUUCUCAUGACUAACAUUGGGGAUGAGCUACAGGAGCCUGAAGACCCACACUCAACAUUUUAGGAACAGCUUAUUUUCCUUUGCCAUCAGAUUUCUGAACAUUGCAUGUACCCAUGAAUACCACCUCACUAUUGUACUCUCUUUCUACACUAUUUAUUUUUAUACAUUCUUUGUGUAGCUUACAGUAAUCAGUCAGGUUCACCAUCACCAGAGUAUGCCAUGAGAUUUAUUUUCUUUGCGGCAGCAUUACAAUGUAGUACAUAACAUCAGGAAAAAAGUGAAUUGGAGUAAGUAAAAUAGUAAUAUAAAAUAAGUAGUGCAAGAAUAGGAAUAAACAAAGCAGUGAGGCAGCAUUGGUGGUUUUAAUGUCCAUUCAGAAAUCUGACGGCAGAGCGAAGAAGCUGUUCCUGAAUCGCUGAGUGUGUGCCUUCAGGCUUCUGUACCUCCUUGCUGAUGGUAGUAAUGGAACAAGGCAUGACCUGGGUGAUGGGGGUCCUGAAUGAUAAAUGCCACCUGUUUGAGGCAUCACUCCCUAAAAAUGUCCUGGAUAGUAUAUGUACUACAUUGUACUGCUCCUGCAAAACAACAAAUUUCAUAAUAUACAUGUCAGUUUCAGAUUCUGAUUCUAAUUACAAGUAGUGUCUAAAUGACCAUUAGAAUCUGAGGGCUGGGGUAUGGGAUGAAGGGAGAAUAAGCAUAAUUAAGCAGUUCAUGAAGGGGCAUAGCCACACAUAAGUAGACAGUCUGCAUCUUUGUCCCCAGGAGUGAAAUAUCUAAUACUAGAAAGCUUAAACUGGGAAGAAGUAAUUUCAAAGGAGAUAUGCAGGCCAAGUUCUUUUUUACACAGUGAGUUCUGGAUGUCUGUUAUGUGUGGCAAGGUUGGUAUUGGAGGCAAAUAUAACAGAGAGUUUUUUAAAUGUUAUUACUCAUUGAGAUACAAUGUGGAACAGGACCUUCUGGCCUUCCUGCCAUGCCACCCAGCAAUCCCCCAAGUUAAUCUGUGCCAAAUCACGGGACAACUUACAAUGACCAAUUAACCCACGAUCAGUAUGUCUUUGGACGGUGGGAGGAAACUGGAGCAGCAAUGAUCAUGGGGAGAAUGUGCAAACUCCUUAUAGUCAGCAGUGGGAAUUGAAGUUGGUCACCUGUACUGUGAAGCAUUGUGCUAACACUAUGCCACCUCAUGGUAGUGUAGUUUAAGAGGUUCUUGGAUAGGCACAUGAAGAACAUUGACAUGGUUCAGACAGAAAGGAUUAAUUUAGCUUAGCACAGCAUCAUGAGCUGAAGACCUAUUCCUGUGCUAUAAUGUUCCAAUAAAACAGGAUUAGUAUAAAUGGGACUUUGAUGGGCUUCUGUGCUGUAAACUUUGUGACAUGAUACUUGGUCAAAAAAAAAGAGCAAAGUAAGUCAUAGAGGUCAGAAUCCAAAUCUAUACAUCUCCCAACCUCAGUACAGUUUUUAAGACUACACUGUUAGCUUUAAUUUCUAAAUAUGCGUACAGGUUAAGUCAAUAUUCAUGAAACAUUUAUUUGUGGACUAUUCAACUAAUAAAUAUUUUCUUACAAUAUUCUAAAGUAUUCAUAUUCUUACUCCUCACCUGAAAA